rnacentral:rRNA from 1 species
AUUGAACGCUGGCGGCAGGCCUAACACAUGCAAGUCGAACGGUAGCACAGAGAGCUUGCUCUCGGGUGACGAGUGGCGGACGGGUGAGUAAUGUCUGGGAAACUGCCUGAUGGAGGGGGAUAACUACUGGAAACGGUAGCUAAUACCGCAUAACGUCGCAAGACCAAAGAGGGGGACCUUCGGGCCUCUUGCCAUCAGAUGUGCACAGAUGGGAUUAGCUAGUAGGUGGGGUAACGGCUCACCUAGGCGACGAUCCCUAGCUGGUCUGAGAGGAUGACCAGCCACACUGGAACUGAGACACGGUCCAGACUCCUACGGGAGGCAGCAGUGGGGAAUAUUGCACAAUGGGCGCAAGCCUGAUGCAGCCAUGCCGCGUGUAUGAAGAAGGCCUUCGGGUUGUAAAGUACUUUCAGCGGGGAGGAAGGCGAUAAGGUUAAUAACCUUGUCGAUUGACGUUACCCGCAGAAGAAGCACCGGCUAACUCCGUGCCAGCCGCCGCGGUAAGAC